AUUGAACGCUGGCGGCAGGCCUAACACAUGCAAGUCGAACGGUAACAGGAAGAAGCUUGCUUCUUUGCUGGCGAGUGGCGGACGGGUGAGUAAUGUCUGGGAAACUGCCUGAUGGAGGGGGAUAACUACUGGAAACGGUAACUAAUACCGCAUAACGUCGCAAGCCCAAAGAGGGGGACCUUCGUGCCUCUUGCCAUCGGAUGUGCCCAGAUGGGAUUAGCUAGUAGGGGGGGUAACGGUUCACCUAGGCGACGAUCCCUAGCUGAUGUGAGAGGAUGACAAGCCACACUGGAACUGAGACACGGUCAAGACUCCUACGGGAGGGAGCAGUGGGGAAUAUUGCACAAUGGUCGCAAGCCUGAUGCAGCCAUGCCGCGUGUAUGAAGAAGGCCUUCGGGUUGUAAAGUACUUUCAGCGGGGAGGAAGGGAGUAAAGUUAAUACCUUUGCUCAUUGACGUUACCCGCAGAAGAAGCACCGGCUAACUCCGUG
rnacentral:rRNA from 1 species